UCUCGAUUGGUCUAGUGGUUAGGAUACCUGCUUGUCAUUGGAUUCCUGUCUAAUAUUCGCCAAAGUGGAUACUAGCUCAAGAGACAUUGAAAACACUGCGCAGGUGGCCGGGGUUCGAUUCCCCGAUCGAGAG